ensembl:snRNA U6 U6 spliceosomal RNA
GUGCUUGCUAUGGCAGCACAUAUACUAAAAUUGGAACCAUACAGAGAAGAUUAGCAUGGCCCCUGCAAAAAGAAAAAAAAAAAAAAAACACCGGUUAUU